rnacentral:rRNA from 1 species
UACGUGGGGUGCAAGCGUUAAUCGGAAUUACUGGGCGUAAAGCGUGCGCAGGCGGUUGUGCAAGACCGAUGUGAAAGUCCCCGGGCUUAACCUGGGAAUGGCAUUGGUGACUGCACGGCUAGAGUGUGUCAGAGGGGGGUAGAAUUCCACGUGUAGCAGUGAAAUGCGUAGAGAUGUGGAGGAAUACCGAUGGCGAAGGCAGCCCCCCGUGGGAUAACACUGACGCUCAUGCUGACGAAAGCGUGGGGAGCAAACAGG